rnacentral:tRNA from 1 species
GGAGCGGUAGCUGAGAGGUAAAGCGCUUGGCUUCCGAACCGGGGUCCCAGGUUCGAAUCCUGGGAUUUUCA